UGAUAAUUAGUUUAAUUAAAAUAAAUGAUUUCGACUCAUUAGACUAUGGUACGACCAUAAUUAUCAA
rnacentral:tRNA from 1 species